rnacentral:rRNA from 1 species
GGACUCCUACGGGAGGCAGCAGUGGGGAAUAUUGCACAAUGGGCGCAAGCCUGAUGCAGCCAUGCCGCGUGUAUGAAGAAGGCCUUCGGGUUGUAAAGUACUUUCAGCAGUGAGGAAGGUGGAUAUGUUAAUAGCAUAUUCAUUUGACGUUAGCUGCAGAAGAAGCACCGGCUAACUCCGUGCCAGCAGCCGCGGUAAUACGGAGGGUGCGAGCGUUAAUCGGAAUUACUGGGCGUAAAGCGCAUGCAGGUGGUUUGUUAAGUCAGAUGUGAAAGCCCGGGGCUCAACCUCGGAAUUGCAUUUGAAACUGGCAAACUAGAGUACUGUAGAGGGGGUAGAAUUUCAGGUGUAGCGGUGAAAUGCGUAGAGAUCUGAAGGAAUACCGGUGGCGAAGGCGGCCCCCUGGACAGAUACUGACACUCAGAUGCGAAAGCGUGGGGAGCAAACAGGAUUAGAUACCCUGGUAG